CCCUUAGAUGUUCUGGGCCGCACGCGCGCUACACUGAUGCAUUCAACGAGCCUAUCCUUGACCGACAGGUCCGGGUAAUCUUUGAAUCUGCAUCGUGACGGGGAUAGAUUAUUGCAAUUAUUAAUCUUCAACGAGGAAUGCCUAGUAGGCGCAAGUCAUCAGCUUGCGUCGAUUACGUCCCUGCCCUUUGUACACACCGCCCGUCGCUCCUACCGAUUGGGUGUGCUGGUGAAAUGUUCGGAUCGGCCGUUUGACGCGGUUUCCGCGUCAUGUGGCUGAGAAGUUCAUUAAACCCUCCCACCUAGAGGAAGGAGAAGUCGUAACA
rnacentral:rRNA from 1 species